ACAUGUGAUCCUUCAGAGUUAGGCCAAUGUUUAUCCCAGUACUAGCAAUCUGAUGGUUACAAAUUAUAGGAGAUUUAAUAAUGAAUAUGCAACGAUACAAGUGAAAGUAUAGCCAAUAGAAAUUAGAAAAGGCUGACUAAGCAUACUCACUCAAAACAAUGGUUUCAUUGUAAUAAUUAUUGAACUUCAAUUGAAGUGGCUAUGCCACUUGAAUGUAGAUCAGCAACNNAUCCUACAUUUUGUAAAUAAUUGCACUGUACAGAUCACAAUCGACAAGGCCAUAUGCUGAG
rnacentral:misc_RNA from 1 species